rnacentral:rRNA from 1 species
UGGGGAAUGAUUGCACAAUGGGCGAAGGCCUGAUGCAGCAACGCCGCGUGAGGGACGACGGCCUUCGGGUUGUAAACCUCUUUAGCAAGGAAGAAGCGAAAGUGACGGUACUUGCAGAAAAAGCGCCGGCUAACUACGUGCCAGCAGCCGCGGUAAUACGUAGGGCGCAAGCGUUAUCCGGAAUUAUUGGGCGUAAAGAGCUCGUAGGCGGUUUGUCGCGUCUGCUGUGAAAACCCGAGGCUCAACCUCGGGCCUGCAGUGGGUACGGGCAGACUAGAGUGCGGUAGGGAGAUUGGAACUCCUGGUGUAGCGGUGGAAUGCGCAGAUAUCAGGAAGAACACCGAUGGCGAAGGCAGAUCUCUGGGCCGUAACUGACGCUGAGGAGCGAAAGGGUGGGGNGCAAACAGGCUUAGAUACCCUGGUAGUCCACCCGUAACGUUGGGAACUAGUUGUGGGGUCCAUUCCACGGAUUCCGUGACGCAGCUAACGCAUUAAGUUCCCCGCCUGGGGAGUACGGCCGCAAGGCU